GCAUUAAUGGGGUAGUGGUAACCUGGGUCGUUGCCAUCAUCCAAGCUCGACCCGCCGGGGGUUCGAUUCCCCCUUAAUGCA
rnacentral:tRNA from 1 species